rnacentral:rRNA from 1 species
CGUGGAGUGAUUUGUCUGGUUUAUUCCGAUAACGAGCGAGACUCUAACCUGCUAAAUAGUGACGGGAUAACUUUGUCCCUGUUACUUCUUAGAGGGAUUAGUGGUGUUUAGCCACACUAGGUUGAGCAAUAACAGGUCUGUGAUGCCCUUAGAUGUCCGGGGCUGCACGCGCGCUACACUGGCAAAAUCAACGUGCUUGUCCUUCCCCGAAAGGGGCGGGUAAACCAUUGAAAAUUUGCCGUGAUUGGGAUCGGAAAUUGCAAUUAUUUUCCGUGAACGAGGAAUUCCAAGUAAGUGCGAGUCAUCAGCUCGCGUUGAAUACGUCCCUGCCCUUUGUAC